CGGGACGUGGCUCAGCCUGGUAGAGCGCUGCGUUCGGGACGCAGAGGUCGCUGGUUCAAAUCCAGUCGUCCCGACCA
rnacentral:tRNA from 2 species